rnacentral:tRNA from 1 species
UUAUUAGUAUUUAUUAGUUAAAUUUGUAUUUUAUUAAUUUUAGUUUAAUAAGUAUUGAUUAAUUAA